AUGGGAAAGAAACCUGGAAAGGUAGGGAGGUAUGGAUAUGGACAAGCUAUGCCAAGGAGCAGGGCUUUGUCAUGGAGAGUGACUAGGUGCUUUUACAUAGGAAAGUCACCUGAUAAUAUUAAAACCUGUGAAAUAUCACUCUGGUGGAAGUGUGAAUGAAUUUGAAAGGGGUGUAACACUGUUCUACUUUGUUUACUCCUCAGUACCCUUGGCUGUGUACAUUUGAGUAAAGAGAGCACUAUAAAAUCAAAAACCAAUGAAAUGGUUUCCAGAACACAGAACUAUUAAGCUUAAGAAAAGGACAGAAGGAACUGAAGAGAGAGGAACUGUUUUGGAGCAUCACACUUCCACCUCAGAAGAAAUAAGGAAGGAAGGAGGAGGGUGUUCCCACGGCUCUUCAACCAGGCCGGCUCUUCAGCCUACAUCCCCAUCUCAUCAAGUAAAAGGGAUUUUUCAACUGGACCAACCAGAUGGUUUAACAGUGCACUCCCACACCAUUCAACUACGCAAGGGAGAUACACUUAACAUAUGCAGUCGUAUAACACCUACUAACAUUUUCAAACAUUAAACCUUUAAAAAAGAGUUCUAAAGAAAUAGAAGCUUGAAGUAUCAUCUCUCAAGUAUAUAGACACUACUUCAUGGUGUGGUAAUAUAUGCAUAUAGAAGCUAGUAAACACCUCCAGGAGAUGCAAAAGGAAUUAGAACUGCCACAAGGUGCAAGCAAAACCUUGAGAGGCUAACAUCUGCCACAAGACAAAUAUGGUGCCUGCCCCCAUGGAGCUCAUAUUCGAAUGGAGAAAAUGUCAACAAGUAUCCCACGGAGUGAACACUUCAAAAGGAGAAGCACAGGUGAGAAAAUCGAAUUUGGACACCGUUGAGGAGACUAUUGCAGUCAUCCAAGCUCAAGAUGGUGGAGCUUCAUCCUUGAGAAUAACCAAUGGGGAUAGAUUUAAGAGACACUUAGAGUCUGCAGCCAACAGGGCUGAAUGAGCAGAGAGUUAUGAUUCAGAAGAUCAUCUAAAAUUGAACAGCUGCCACUACUGGCAAUAAGUCUACUGCCAUUUGGUAGAUAACCUUCUUAUCACACAGAAAAAUAUCAGUACAGACAAAUAGACCGCAAAGAAAAUGAGACCAUCAGCAAAGAAGAUAAAGAAGUUUGUACAAAGCAACUUUUUAUAAAUGGAUGGCUGUCAGGCAAAAAUAAAUUUCCUGUGGACAAGACCAAGAGCAAGGCAAGAGGAAAAUAAACAUGUUUAAACU
ensembl:lncRNA LINC00343 long intergenic non-protein coding RNA 343